rnacentral:rRNA from 1 species
GACGAACGCUGGCGGCGGGCUUAACACAUGCAAGUCGAACGGCAGCGCCCUACUUUCUUGGGGUUCUCGAGUGGCGAACGCGUGAGUAACACGUAAAUAACCUGCCCUUCACUUUGGGAUGAGUUCAGGAAAGUGGGGCUAAUACCGUAUAGCAUCUCCUCCUCCAUGGAGGGGGUUGGAACGUUUCGGCUGGUGGGGAUGGACUCGCGGGUUAUCAGCUUGUUGGUGGGCGAGUGGCUUACCAAGGCAUUGACGGGUAGCCGGCCUGAGAGGGCGACCGGGCACAAUGGGACUAAGAGACGGAGCAGAGUCGAAUGGGAGACAGUAGUGGGGAGUAUUGUACAGUGGGCGCACGUGGGUGGAGGAAACGCCGGGGGUGGGAAGACGGCCUUCUGGUUGUAAAAAGCAGCAGCCUGAGACGAAGCGGGAGUGACGGUAAUGGGUGAAGAAGCACCGGCUAACUACGUG